AUUGAACGCUGGCGGCAGGCCUAACACAUGCAAGUCGAACGGUAGCACAGAGAGCUUGCUCUCGGGUGAUGAGUGGCGGACGGGUGAGUAACGUCUGGGAAACUGCCCGAUGGAGGGGGAUAACUACUGGAAACGGUAGCUAAUACCGCAUAACGUCGCAAGACCAAAGUGGGGGACCUUCGGGCCUCACACCAUCGGAUGUGCCCAGAUGGGAUUAGCUAGUAGGUGGGGUAAUGGCUCACCUAGGCGACGAUCCCUAGCUGGUCUGAGAGGAUGACCAGCAACACGAGAACGGAGACCCGGUCCAGACUCCUACGGGAGGCAGCAGUGGGGAAUAUUGCACAAUGGGCGCAAGCCUGAUGCAGCCAUGCCGCGUGUAUGAAGAAGGCCUUCGGGUUGUAAAGUACUUUCAGCGGGGAGGAAGGCGGUGAAGUUAAUAACUUCACCGAUUGACUUUACCCGCAGAAGAAGCCCCGGCUAACUCCGUGCCAGCAGCCGCCGUAA
rnacentral:rRNA from 1 species